rnacentral:rRNA from 1 species
AUUCCAGCUCCAAUAGCGUAUAUUAAAGUUGUUGCAGUUAAAAAGCUCGUAGUUGGAUUUCUGCCGGGAGCGUCAUGUCUUUCGCCUUGUGCGACUGAACGUUGUCGUCUUUUGGCAUCCUUGCGGAGAUGCGUUUUGGCAUUAAGUUGUCGGGGCGUGGAUUCGCAUCGUUUACUGUGAAAAAAUUAGAGUGUUUAAAGCAGGCAAUUGCUGUGAAUACAUUAGCAUGGAAUAAUAAGAUAGGACUUGUUGCUAUUUUGUUGGUUUGCACGACAAGUAAUGAUUAACAGGAACAGUUGGGAGUAUUCGUAUUUAAUUGUCAGAGGUGAAAUUAUUGGAUUUAUGAAAGACGAACAACUGCGAAAGCAUUUACUAAGGAUGUUUUCAUCA